GACGAACGCUGGCGGCGUGCUUAACACAUGCAAGUCGAACGGUGAAGCGCCUUCCUUUUUGGUGGGUGUGGAUGAGUGGCGAACGGGUGAGUAACACGUGAGUAACCUGCCCCCUUCUUCUGGAUAACCGCAUGAAAGUGUGGCUAAUACGGGAUAUUCUGGGUCUGUCGCAUGAUGGGUCUGGGAAAGAUAUUGUUUCGGUGGGGGAUGGGCUCGCGGCCUAUCAGCUUGUUGGUGGGGUGAUGGCCUACCAAGGCGGUGACGGGUAGCCGGCCUGAGAGGGUGGACGGUCACACUGGGACUGAGACACGGCCCAGACACCUACGGGAGGCAGCAGUGGGGAAUAUUGCACAAUGGGCGCAAGCCUGAUGCAGCGACGCCGCGUGAGGGAUGGAGGCCUUCGGGUUGAGAACCUCUUUCGCCAGUGAAGCAGGCCUGCCUCGUUUGUGGGUGGGUUGACGGUAGCUGGAUAAGAAGCGCCGGCUAACUACGUG
rnacentral:rRNA from 1 species